rnacentral:rRNA from 1 species
UACGUAGGGUGCGAGCGUUGUCCGGAAUUAUUGGGCGUAAAGAGCUCGUAGGCGGUGUGUCACGUCGGCCGUGAAAACCUGCAGCUUAACUGUGGGCGUGCGGUCGAUACGGGCAUCACUGGAGUUCGGCAGGGGAGACUGGAAUUCCUGGUGUAGCGGUGAAAUGCGUAGAUAUCGGGAGGAACACCAGUGGCGAAGGCGGCUACCUGGCCCACUCUUGACGCUGAGGCGCGAAAGCUAGGGGAGCAAACGGG